CUAAUMAUGCAAGUCGAACGCGUUGGCCCAAAUUGAUUGAYRGUGCUUGCACCUGAUUGAUUUUGGUCGCCAACGAGUGGCGGACGGGUGAGUAACWYGUAGGUAACCUGCCCAGAAGCGGGGGACAACAUUUGGAAACAGAUGCUAAUACCGCAUAACARCGUUGUUCGCAUGAACAACGCUUAAAAGAUGGCUUCUCGCUAUCACUUCUGGAUGGACCUGCGGUGCAUUAGCUUGUUGGUGGGGUAACGGCCUACCAAGGCGAUGAUGCAUAGCCGAGUUGAGAGACUGAUCGGCCACAAUGGGACUGAGACACGGCCCAUACUCCUACGGGAGGCAGCAGUAGGGAAUCUUCCACAAUGGGCGCAAGCCUGAUGGAGCAACACCGCGUGAGUGAAGAAGGGUUUCGGCUCGUAAAGCUCUGUUGUUAAAGAAGAACACGUAUGAGAGUAACUGUUCAURCGUUGACGGUAUUUAACCAGAAAGUCACGGCUAACUACGUGCCAGCAGCCGCGGUAAUACGUAGGUGGCAAGCGUUAUCCGGAUUUAUUGGGCGUAAAGAGAGUGCAGGCGGUUUUCUAAGUCUGAUGUGAAAGCCUUCGGCUUAACCGGAGAAGUGCAUCGGAAACUGGAUAACUUGAGUGCAGAAGAGGGUAGUGGAACUCCAUGUGUAGCGGUGGGAAUGCGUAGAUAUAUGGAAGAACACCAGUGGCGAAGGCGGCUACCUGGUCUGCAACUGACGCUGAGACUCGAAAGCAUGGGUAGCGAACAGGAUUAGAUACCCUGGUAGUCCAUGCCGUAAACGAUGAGUGCUAGGUGUUGGAGGGGUUUCCGCCCUUCAGUGCCGGAGCUAACGCAUU
rnacentral:rRNA from 1 species